GGGGACCUACGGGAGGCAGCAGUGGGGAAUAUUGCACAAUGGGGGAAACCCUGAUGCAGCAACGCCGCGUGAAGGAAGACGGUUUUCGGAUUGUAAACUUCUUUUCUUAGUGAAGAAGCAAGUGACGGUAGCUAAGGAAUAAGCAUCGGCUAACUACGUGUCAGCAGCCGCGGUAAUACGUAGGAAGCGAGCGUUAUCCGGAAUUACUGGGUGUAAAGGGAGCGCAGGCGGGACUGCAAGUUGGAUGUGGAAUACCGCAGCUUAACUG
rnacentral:rRNA from 1 species